UGAAUUGUCUGAAUGAGGUAGAGCAUGAGUUAAUGUGUGGAUGAAUUGUCUGAAUGAGGGAGAGCAUGAUUAAUGUGUGGAUGAAUUGUCUGAAUGAAAGUGUGAAUUAGUGAGUGACUGUAAAA